rnacentral:rRNA from 1 species
AACGAACGCUGGCGGCAGGCUUAACACAUGCAAGUCGAGCGCAUCCUUCGGGGUGAGCGGCCGACGGGUGAGUAACGCGUGGGAAUCUACCUUUUGCUACGGCAUAGCUCCGGGAAACUGAAAUUAUUACGGAACGUGCCCUAAGGGGGAAAGAUUUUUCGACAAGGGUUGAGCCCGCGUGGGAUUAGCUGGUUGGUGGGGUAAUGGCCUACCAAGGCGACGAUCCAUAGCUGGUCUGAGAGGAUGAUCAGCCACAUUGGGACUGAGACACGGCCCAAACUCCUACGGGAGGCAGCAGUGGGGAAUAUUGGACAAUGGGCGCAAGCCUGAUCCAGCCAUGCCGCGUGAGUGAUGAAGGCCUUAGGGUUGUAAAGCUCUUUCACCGGAGAAGAUAAUGACGGUAUCCGGAGAAGAAGCCCCGGCUAACUUCGUG